rnacentral:rRNA from 1 species
UACGUAGGGUGCGAGCGUUAUCCGGAAUUAUUGGGCGUAAAGGGUGCGUAGAUGGCCUGAUAAGUUAGCAGUGGGAAAUCGAGGCUCAACCUCGUGGAAGCUGGUAAUACUGUCAAGCUCGAGUGCAGGAGAGGUUAACGGAACUCCAUGUGGAGCGGUAAAAUGUGUAGAUAUAUGGAAGAACACCAAUAACGGCGAAGGCAGUUAACUAUUCUGUUACUGACAUUGAGGCACGAAAGCGUGGGGAGCAAAACGG